CAAGCAUGAGCAGCAAACUGUCUUCCAUCAUCCACCUGGAUUGAUGACUGGGAAACAGAUAGAAGUAUUCAGUAUUACAGCCUUGGAUGGACCAAGUAGGAGCUUCAGUCAUGGCUUGAUAACUCUGAGAUGAAGGCAAGACAGCACAGCCAAAUCAAGACUUUUCUGAUGGCCACAUCUGUCUGAGGAACCCAAGGCAUAAAGACCUGAAGGGCACAAUGAAGUCCUGCCAACUGAAAAAACUGCUGAACUCAGGCCUGGGAUUUUUUUUUUUUAAGCUGAGUUCCUAAACACUCACUGACAGCUGGCCAGAAAAACCGAUUAGAAAAUUGUCAUGAUGGUCAUGCUAUCUGAAUGCUCAUCAACUAACUAUUGAUGUAG
rnacentral:lncRNA from 1 species